rnacentral:rRNA from 1 species
UACGUAGGGUGCAAGCGUUGUCCGGAAUUAUUGGGCGUAAAGAGCUCGUAGGCGGCUCGUCACGUCGGCUGUGAAAACCCGGGGCUCAACCCCGGGCCUGCAGUCGAUACGGGCGAGCUAGAGUUCGGCAGGGGAGACUGGAAUUCCUGGUGUAGCGGUGAAAUGCGCAGAUAUCAGGAGGAACACCGGUGGCGAAGGCGGGUCUCUGGGCCGAUACUGACGCUGAGUGAGCGAAAGCCAGGGGAGCGAACAGG